AUUGAACGCUGGCGGCAGGCCUAACACAUGCAAGUCGAGCGAGCGGCGGACGGGUGAGGAAUGUCUGGGAAACUGCCUGAUGGAGGGGGAUAACUACUGGAAACGGUAGCUAAUACCGCAUACCAUCAGAUGUGCCCAGAUGGGAUUAGCUAGUGGUUGGGGUAACGGCUCACCUAGGCAACGAUCCCUAGCUGGUCUGAGAGGAUGACCAGCCACACUGGAACGGAGACACGGUCCAGACGCCUACGGGAGGCAGCAGUAGGGAAUAUUGCAGAAUGGGCGCAAGCCUGAUGCAGCCAUGCCGCGUGUGUGAAGAAGGCCUUCGGGUUGUAAAGCACUUUCAGCGGGGAGGCGUUACCCGCAGAAGAAGCACCGGCUAACUCCGUGCCAGCAGCCGCGGUAAUAC
rnacentral:rRNA from 1 species